rnacentral:rRNA from 1 species
UACGAAGGGGGGCUAGCGUUGUUCGGAAUUACUGGGCGUAAAGCGCACGUAGGCGGGUCGUUAAGUCAGGGGUGAAAUCCCAGAGCUCAACUCUGGAACUGCCUUUGAUACUGGCGACCUAGAGUUCGGAAGAGGUUAGUGGAAUUCCCAGUGUAGAGGUGAAAUUCGUAGAUAUUGGGAAGAACACCAGUGGCGAAGGCGGCUAACUGGUCCGAUACUGACGCUGAGGUGCGAAAGCGUGGGGGAGCAAACAGGG